GCGUGGCCUCGGCGUUAGCAUUCACCAAUCACCGAGCAGAGCUGGGAAGGGGGCGUGGCAUCUGCCCGCAGCUCCGCCAAUCAUCGCGCAGGGCGGAGGAGGGGGCGUGGCCAUCCCGCCUUCCUGCUCCGGUAGCGGCGGAGGACGCGGCUGCCGGCCCGCGGCCACCCCAGCGGGAGCGAGGGGACCCCCGGGAGCUGCCAGGGCUGAACCAGAGCAGAGGAACUCCUGAGACCACCCAGAACCGAGCAAGAGAACCCCCGAGACCACCCAAAGCUGAGCAGGAGAACCCCCAGGACCACCCAGAGCCGAAUAGGAGCAGAGGAACCCCCAAGACCACCCAGAACCCUGCAGGAGAACCUUUAGGACCACCCAGAACCGAGCAGGAGCAGGGAGACCCACGGGAUCACCCAGAACCGAGCAGGAGCACAGGGACCCCCGGGAUCACCCAGAACCGAGUAGGAGCAGUGGGACCCCCGGGAUCACCCAGAACCGAGCAGGAGAACCCCCGGGACCACCCAGAACCGAGCAGAGGAACCCUCGGGAUCACCCAGAAC